AGUUAAGCGUCUUUAACCUGAAUGUGGUUUUUUUUUUUUUUUUGCCUUCAGUAGUUUCUUAUUUAUUUAUUUAUUUAUCUGACUUGUUAUUUUUGGCAGCUCUGGAGCCUGAGCCCAGGGCCCUAAGCAUGCUAGGCAUGUGCUCUGCCUGCAGCAACAGUGUAGGCUCUUUUUAUUAUCUUUAUUUUAACAUAGGGCAUUGUUGGUCAGGCAAUGGUGAUACCUUUAAUCUCAGCACUCAGGGCACAGAGGCAGGAGGAUCUCUGAGUUUCAAGGCCAGUCUGGUCUAUAGGUCAGGGCCACUUGUUGUUACAGAGAAGCCUUGUCUCAAAAAACAAGAACAUACCCUAAACAAAUAAACAGAUGAUGAUGAUGAUGGUGGUGGUGGUAGUGGUGGUGAUGAUGGUGAUGAUGAUGAUGGUGGCAGUGUGGGAUGGUGAUGAUGGUGAUAACAAGGCAGUGUUAAGUUGUACAGCUGGCUUUGGACUUGAAUCUUAUUGCUUCAGCCUCCUGAGUAGCUGGAUUACAGGCAUUUGCCACUACCCACAUCUUGGGGUCUCCCUUACUAGAGGAGAAACAUAUGAUCCUGGGGUCACGUUGUGGUUGCAGAUAAAAUUACAUCUGUGGAGCCAGGGAGAUGGCUCAACAGGUAGAGGCAUUUGCUGCCAAGCCAGACACUCUGAGUAAGACCUCAGGGACCCACAUGAUAGAAGAGAACUGACCCCCAAAGUUUUCCUCUGACCUCCAGAUGACCCCUAAACACAAUACAUAAAAAGUAAUAAAAAUAACUAUUAAAAUUUAAAUACCUGUUGUAUCUUUGAAAGUUUAAAUCUGGAACUUAAGUGUCUUUUAAGUUUUCAUUUUCAUACACACACACACACACACACACACACACACACGCACACUAUAUGCACACACACACUAUAUGUAUACACACACUAUAUGCAUUCACACACAUGCACACACACACACCACACUCUACACAUACACUAUACACACACACUAUACACACACUAUAGUACACACACUAUACAUACGCACACUACACGCAUACACUAUACACACACACUGUAUGUACACAUACACUAUACACAUUCACACAUACACACACUACACACACACACACACGGUUCUUCCCUGUUUCCACUUUCCAGUCUCCCGGCACUCACAGCUCCCUUCCCUAGAGAUUAUCAUCGCUGCUAUGAAUUCGUGUUAUGCUUCAUUCAUUUGAAUAUUUCCAAACCCUCGCUGUAACUCACUGCUUUCCCUAGACUUUGCACUUCCUCCUUUUCACCUAGAAUCUUGGUGUCGUGGUUUGUUCCUGAGGUGUCAUAAACCCGGCUCUUAUUUUAGUCCUCCCUUCUGAAAGCCCGGCACACAUCAACUCUAACCCACUUUAAAUAUUCUUGGCUUGGCUGGUGGAUCCUGGAUGUAACCAGGGUAAGAAUUUCAAGACCUUGAGCUUCUCACUUGCUGUGAAACCAGUUCUGUUAGUUAAUUUAUCACAGCAGUUUGACAGCCAAAUGCAGUCGUGGGCAAAAGCAUGUUUCCUUUUCCUUAUUCUCCCUCUCUCUGUCUGUCUCUCUCUGUCUCUGCCUCUCUCAUUGAGAAAGAGCGGAGAAGCUGGAGAUGUAGCUCAUUCAGCGGCUUGCUUGUCAUGUGUGCGCAGUGCCCUGGGUUUGAUUCUCAAUACUGCAUAACCAAGUGUUCAGGCUGGCGUGGCUGUAGACAUGUGGUAUUAAAUUUCUCUACAGAACUGUGCAGUGAAUGAGAGGAUUGGACGUAUGUUUCCUAUUAGGUUUCUUGCUGUAGUGGUUAAGGACAUGGCCUUUGAAGCUAAAAGUAUUUGGGUUCAAGUUAGUCCUGCUAAUCGCUUGAUGUGUGGCUUUGGAUAAGUUACGCACUCUCCCAGUUUCCCUAAAGCGGGUAGAUGGGAUGUAUUUUAUAGACGUGCCAAAGUCAUGGUUCAUGGACAGUGUGUGGCACGAAUUAAAUACUGAACAAAUAUUAGCUUUUCCUUUACUGCUUUGUUGGUUUCAAGUAGACAACCUCCAGUCUGAUCACCUUGAAGAGGGGAAUCCCCAGUUCUUCACAGCGGGUAGGGCUCACUUUCAUUUGCCCCGUUAAUCAGUCACCAGAAGUGAUGUAUAGUUACAGACAACUUUGGAAGGCUGGUGCAGAUCUCAGGAUCUCUCUUGGUGGUCAGUUCUAAGUGGCAUGAGGAUUUCCUUGCAUCUCGGGGGUCUGUCCGUUUCUCCACAUCUUUAAGUGUUUAGUUUUGUGUCUACUGAGGAACAUAGUGUAGCCUAUGUAAGAGAUCUUUUGAGGUUUGAUUGACUUGUUCAGCAACAGAGAGAAAACAACCUAGACUGGCUUCCUUAUCGCCUUCUUUCUCUGUCUCCUCCUUUCUCUCCCUCUCUUCUUUUUCUGAGCUGGAGAUUGAAUCCAGGGCCCCACACAUCCUAGGCAUGUACUUUACCAUUGAACUCUCUCAUCCCGUCCCGUGGGGCUUUGUUUCUUGUUGAAGGCUGUGUAUGCAGUGUGUGGGGGUGGGCUGGGGUGAGGCCAGGCUCAUUCCAUGAAGAGAGCUUUGAGAAGGGAAAAAUAAUCCCCAGAAACUCAAAACUCAUUUUGAAAUUCCAUAAAGGAAACGGAAGACCCUGUUCCCUUAGUCCUUGAACUGAAGGAGUCAGAGAAAUAUAUGCAUUAUGAGAAAUUUUGCUUUCACAGAAAAAUGCAUGGAUUUUAAACACUUUUUUAAAAAAUCAGAAAACUCUAUGAAGAAUUGUAAUCUCAGAAAGAGAAACAGAUUAAGUUUGUUGUUGUUGUUUAUUCAGGCCAGAUAAAUUUCUGAUGGAGUCACUGUGCCCACCAUAAGAAAAAGACAAAGAGGAAGCUGUGUGCACAGCACCUUCUGUUCUUUUGGGGAGAUGGGAGGGUAGGUCAGAUCUGAAGAUGGGACUGAGAGCAGGCAAAUUUGUAUCCUCCUGGGAAACUCCAAAAAACUCUGGUUGUUUCUCUUCAGGUGAAAAAGGUCAGCUUUGUUGGAGAAUAAAGUGGAAACUCAUUUCCAAGUGUUCUGUCACCCCAGGAUUCCACCAGGGACUGGCCCUGACUGCAGAAUUCUCCACUGCAGCAAAGGCUCUCACUAAAUGGCUCUGGCUAUCCCAGGACUCACUCUGUAGCUCACAGGCUGACCUCCAACUCCUGGAGCUCCUGCCUCUGCCUCCUAGAGUGCUGGGGUUAAAGGCAUGUGCCUUUUUAAUCUUUUAUUUUUAGUGAUCUGAGUGUGUGUGUGUCUGCAUGGAAUAUGUUUGUGUGUGUACAGUGUCUCCAGGGGACAGGAGACAGCCUCAGAUCUUCUGGAGUAACAGGCAGUUGUGAGCUUUCUGAACUAGGUGCUGGGUUUGAACUGUGGCCUCUGUAAGAGCACUGUACAUUUCUAACCACUGAGCUGUGCCUCCCCAGGCUGGCCUCAAAGGCACAGUCUUCCUUCAGCAAGUCCUGCCUACAUGUGCCACCAAGACCAGAUGGAUACUCCUUUUCAACGAAAGAUUUUCUGUUACAGUUAAAGUGCUGCAUUGCUGGCUGUAUGCU
rnacentral:lncRNA from 1 species